GAUGAAGAACGUAGCGAAGUGCGAUAAGUAAUGUGAAUUGCAGAAUUCCGUGAAUCAUCGAAUCUUUGAACGCAAAUUGCACUUUCUGGUAUUCCGGAGAGUAUGCCUGUUUGAGGGUCAGUGUAAUAAAAAUAAAUCGUGGUUGUUUGCCACCUUUUCGUGGUGACGCUUCGGAAUUGAGUCGUCUUUACCCCUUCGGGUUAAGUGACUUAAAAUUUUUUCAUACGAUUUCGAAACGUAUUUAAUGUAUUAUGUACGUUCACGAAUAUCGAAUGUUUAUUAGGUGCGGUCAUUUUUCAUGAAUUCGCGUCUAUAAUUUUUUUUUUUUUUGACCUCAAAUCAGGUAAGAAUACCCGCUGAACUUAAGCAUAUCAAUAAGCGGAGGA
rnacentral:misc_RNA from 1 species